CAAGUGGCGGAGCAGCUCGCCGCGGCAGUGGGCACGCAGUGGCCGCAGGCCGGCGCGGGAAGCAGGCGGCUCGCGGCAGCCAAUUAUCCCGACACGACGGCUGUGAAGUUACAGCGAGCGCAGCCUCGUCUUGUCAGAGGAGCGCGCGUAAAAGGGCCACGGCGGCCGUACCGCGCGUAACCGGCCGGCGGAGACCAUUCCGGACGGGCCGGCGGCCGCCAUAUACAGCGCCACAAAGCGAGCCCCGCCGCUGCAAAUGGCGCCAUAUGUAUUCACGGCGGGAGGCCCGGCUCUCCCAUUAUAUACACUUCGGACGGGCCCCCGCGCCGCCGCGUCCAAUUCCACAAAAAUUAUGAUGUAAGUGCCGUGUCAUGUCCGUAAAUAAGGACAGCCGGCCGGAGAGAGUGCGAGCCGUGUUUGGAAGGCGGCGGACGGCGACGGCAUUGUGGCUGCAGGGUGGGCCGCGCUCGUCCGCGCGGCUACACGGUAGCUCGCCCUAAAGGCCCGGCUGGCAACCGGUCUGCAGCGGUACGUCGCCUUAAGCGCUUUUCUUCUGCGGCUGUUGCUGACGGAUCAAGUGCUGCACCACUAACGGGUGAAGCGCGUCAAAAGCGUUAGCGUCACAGUACGUUUUACUGCCGUCGCUGUCAGGGUCGCUCGUAAACACGAGUUAUUCGGAAUGUCGAGGGGUCAUCAUCAUCGGGUUGCUGCUCCAGGUGCGAUUGUACACGGGAUAUGCAAAAUAAUGUGAACACUUGUUCUUGCGCGUGAAUGGUGUAUUAAUAAGGUGUUGGACCCCCAUUCGCUCAAAAUACAGCUGCGAUUCUUCUUGGAAUACUCGCAUAUAAUGAUUGUAUAGUCCUCAGCGGAAUGUUAAGCCAUUCUUCUAACUCCUGUAGUGACUAGGGAGGCGGAAACCUGCUCCGGAGUCUGCGCUCCAAUACUGCCCACAGGGGUCGAUAAUGUUCAAGUCCGGGGACUGUGCUGGCCAGGGAAGACGCUAAAGUGAUGGCAACACUGGAAGUAUCAGGAGCGUUAUGAGAUUAUGAUCUGAUGCAGAUUAAUCCACGGAAAACUUACUGAAAAAGACUGGUGAUGUAACCUGCUAGUUCUGAAAUUUCAGUGAAGCGUAUUGCCAAAAGGAAAUGCCAGCUACAAAAAGACCAUCAAGACGAAAUGCUUCGUUAUAGCCAGCACUGAGUUCAACCCCUCAUCAGUGCAAACACCUGGAACGGAUGCGCGUCACCUGUGCGCGUCACCUGUGCACGUCUCGCCGCUCGCAACAGCCGACGACACUCUUUUUGAGUGUCGCGUGGUCGCGGACGUGCCCGAGUCUCCUGCAGGCGGCGGGCGUCGGCGGCGCGGCCUUGGCUGCCUCACGUAGGGCACGCCAGCCGCUCGUCAACGGCGGUAAUAAAUGUGUCUGUCAGGACGGGCAAAGGCGAUGGCUGGCGGCCGGCUGACAGGCACGCCACGGACGCGGAAAAAUAGCCCCGGCGACGGGCCGGCCGUAAACGCCGCCGUGGCGUGACCGCCGACUCGCCCCGCACAUGUUUCAUCCGGCAAACGCCUCCGAGGCUCUUUAGUGUCGACGUCGAGUUUGACAGAAAAUACAGCCGGGAACAGUUCGAAACAAGCACGCUCUUCUCACUUCCACGAGACAUUUAUUUCCGACGCUGCUUUCUUCGUGUCUGGUUCGAAAUGAAGCGGAGUAUUCUAGUUUUUACGAAAUAAGAGACACCUGCACAUAACGUGGUUUGCCUUUCAUCCGCAUUAUAAAAAUAAAAGAUGUUGUAAAGGCACUUUACAAUUUUACAGUGCAGUAGUUGUAAGACGUGUAUAUUUCUUAUAUUUUAUUAAUAGGAUUAAGUAGGAAUAACUAAUAUUUGUCAUGUUGGAAAUAAUUGUGGUAGCAGGGAAUGUCUGCACCAAAGUAUUGUUGACAAGAGAGACCACAAAUUGAUAUAAUUUUAAAAAGGGCGGAAGAGACUGCGUAUGGAUACAUUAUAAGAAAAGAGCGGGAAAGACCACGCAUUGAGUAAUGGUAACAGGUAUUGUCUGCACCAGAAAGCAUUGUUGGCAGGAGAGACAGCGCUUUAGCGUUCGUAGGGUGUCAGUAGUAACCGAGAAGUGAAGUGAGUCGGUAGCAGGUCUGAAGCGAGAGGUUGAGAGGAGCAGUGUGCCUGCCAGCCACUAGCUAUGAUAUACAAGAGAUUAUAAACGGGUGUACAGAGACAUCAGCUAACUAUUAUAAUAAGAGGAACUAAUAUUAUUGAAUUAAUUUUUUGAGAAACUCAAGACUACUGAAGGUAUGUGUGCGCAUUGCUAGUUGCAAGAUUAUUGUAAAAAGUAAGUCCCAUUUGAACGUUUGUAAAAUCAUUUCAUUCAGAAUAUAAUUAACUUUUGCCAGCAA